AGCCGUGGGGGGUAAUCUAUUAUCCCGUGCGGUCAUACCGACCGCACGGGAUAAUAGAUUAUCCCGUGCGGUC
rnacentral:pre_miRNA from 13 species